rnacentral:rRNA from 1 species
GACGUAGGGCGCGAGCGUUGUCCGGAUUUAUUGGGCGUAAAGAGCUCGUAGGCGGCUUGUUGCGUCGACCGUGAAAACCCGGGGCUCAACUUCGGGCUUGCGGUCGAUACGGGCGGGCUAGAGUUCGGUAGGGGAGACUGGAAUUCCUGGUGUAGCGGUGAAAUGCGCAGAUAUCAGGAGGAACACCGGUGGCGAAGGCGGAUCUCUGGGCCUUACCUGACGCUCAGGUGCGAAAGCUAGGGGAGCGAACAGG